rnacentral:rRNA from 1 species
GAUGAACGCUGGCGGCGUGCCUAAUACAUGCAAGUAGAACGCUGAGGGAAGGAGCUUGCUCUUUCCGGGUGAGUGGCGAACGGGUGAGUAACGCGUAGGUAACCUGCCUGGUAGCGGGGGAUAACUAUGGGAAACGAUAGCUAAUACCGCAUAACAGUAUAUGUUGCAUGACUACUAUGUGAAAGGGGCAAUUGCUCCACUACCAGAUGGACCUGCGUUGUAUUAGGUAGUUGGUGAGGUAACGGGCCAACAAAGCGACGAUACAGAACCCACCUGAGAGGGUGAUCGGCCACACCGGGACUGGGACACGGCCCCGACUCCUACGGGGGGCAGCCGGAAGGAAUCUUCGGCAAAGGACGGAAGUCUGACCGAGCAACGCCGCGUGAGGGAAGAAAGUUUUCGGGUCGUAAAGCUCUGUUGUAAGAGAAGAACGAGAGUGAGAGUGAAAAGUUCACACUGUGACGGUAUCUAACCAGAAAGGGACGGCUAACUACGUG